GUUAUCGUUUAUUUGAUAGUACCUUACUACAUGGAUAACCGUGGUAAUUCUAGAGCUAAUACAUGCUAAAAACCCCGACUUCGGAAGGGGUGUAUUUAUUAGAUAAAAAACCAAUGCCCUUCGGGGCUCCUUGGUGAUUCAUGAUAACUUAACGAAUCGCAUGGCCUUGUGCCGGCGAUGGUUCAUUCAAAUUUCUGCCCUAUCAACUUUCGAUGGUAGGAUAGUGGCCUACCAUGGUUUCAACGGGUAACGGGGAAUUAGGGUUCUAUUCCGGAGAGGGAGCCUGAGAAACGGCUACCACAUCCAAGGAAGGCAGCAGGCGCGCAAAUUACCCAAUCCCGACACGGGGAGGUAGUGACAAUAAAUACUGAUACAGGGCUCUUUUGGGUCUUGUAAUUGGAAUGAGUACAAUUUAAAUCCCUUAACGAGGAACAAUUGGAGGGCAAGUCUGGUGCCAGCAGCCGCGGUAAUUCCAGCUCCAAUAGCGUAUAUUAAAGUUGUUGCAGUUAAAAAGCUCGUAGUUGAACCUUGG
rnacentral:rRNA from 1 species